GCCAGCAGCCGCGGUAAUACGUAGGUGGCAAGCGUUGUCCGGAUUUAUUGGGCGUAAAGCGAGCGCAGGCGGUCAAUUAAGUCUGAUGUGAAAGCCCCCGGCUCAACCGGGGAGGGUCAUUGGAAACUGGUUGACUUGAGUGCAGAAGAGGAGAGUGGAAUUCCAUGUGUAGCGGUGAAAUGCGUAGAUAUAUGGAGGAACACCAGUGGCGAAGGCGACUCUCUGGUCUGUAACUGACGCUGAGGCUCGAAAGCGUGGGUAGCAAACAGGAUUAGAUACCCUGGUAGUCCACGCCGUAAACGAUGAGUGCUAAGUGUUGGAGGGUUUCCGCCCUUCAGUGCUGCAGUUAACGCAUUAAGCACUCCGCCUGGGGAGUACGACCGCAAGGUUGAAACUCAAAGGAAUUGACGGA
rnacentral:rRNA from 1 species